UCAAGUUAGAAAAUGAUGUGUAAGAGACAAGGUUCUAUUGAUUUACCGUCAAUUUAUCUUUUAUUGACUACUACACAUUAGACUGCAAGUGUUGGGCUCCAUAUUUGGGCUUCGUAAAUGGGCCAUAAUAAAUGGGCCGGUGGUACACAGCCGUGGGAAACCAUUUCAAAAUUUUAAAACUCGGAAUUUUCUUUUCUUCCCUUUUUUUUCCCCUUCUUUCCAGUUGUCGAAAACAGCGGCGAGCUGAGGAUUUAUGGCGGGAACCGAUACGCUUCCCCGCUGAAAAAUCACGAGGAAGUAAGAUCCUUCACUCUGUUUGUUCACCGAGAAAGAGAAUUCUUGAGGUGUUGGAUUGAAAAACGGUGGGGGGAUGGGAGGAGUGGAAGCCGAAACUUCGUAAAUUCGGGGGGAUUCCAGGGCGUAUGCUUUGGUGUUUUGGUCUCGGGACUCGAGUAAUGUAGGAUUCAGCCGCUGAUUCCUGUUGUUCAACCUUCAUUCCCUCGGAAACCAGAGAGGGGGGAUUCUGCUGAGUGCUGAUUCUGGUAGCCAUUGAGAGAUUGUUUUGUGGUUAUGCCUUUGAAUCGGAACUCUAGAACUCGCAAACAUCAAAAUCCUCAUUUGGAGCACCUGGAGGUUUGGUUUCUUACAUCGGAUUGUGUUCGUCCGUACAACAUGUCGCAUCCUGUUCACUCAUUUUGAAUCUUAUUUACAAUUUCAUUGCAGAGAUUUGUCUGGACAGGAUCUUUGUGGUCAUGAAGUGGAUGCCCUUAAGUUAUGCACCAUGUCUCUGUAAGUAUCAUCACUACAUAUACCGAUUCCAGCAAGUAUUAAGGAUCGCUCAUGUUCAGAGGCGACGAAACAGUUUCCUAUCCUUUUAUCAUUUUACAGAAAACCCUUCAAAUCUCCACUGGAACGCCGAGAG